rnacentral:rRNA from 1 species
UACGUAGGGUGCAAGCGUUAAUCGGAAUUACUGGGCGUAAAGCGUGCGCAGGCGGUUUGCUAAGACAGGUGUGAAAUCCCCGGGCUUAACCUGGGAACUGCGCUUGUAACUGGCAAGCUGGAGUGUGGCAGAGGGGGGUGGAAUUCCACGUGUAGCAGUGAAAUGCGUAGAGAUGUGGAGGAACACCGAUGGCGAAGGCAGUCCCCUGGGCUAACACUGACGCUCAUGCACGAAAGCGUGGGGAGCAAACAGG